AUAUAUGAGUAAAUGCAAUUAUACCAAUAUUAUUAGUAAACUUUACCUAAAAAAUCGGUUAAAUUUACUGAUAUUCUGAAGAAACUGACCUUACCUAUAUAUGAGUGAUCGCAUUUACCCAUAUUUGGGUGAAAAAAUAAACAUAACAAAUACGAACUGAGGACCACCGGCAGUCGCAGUAGUUUGUAAAAUUCUCUGUUUUAUGCUCAAUACAUAGUGACAAUCGACGAGUAUUUAUGUAGUUCCGAGUGCAGUUCUUGAUGUGAGCUUUUCUUAACCAGUUCCGAUCAUUUUGAGCUCCUGUCGGAUGUCAACCUCACAAGUGAUGAUCGACGCUAUAUUAUGAGAAAGAGGACUAGCUCCUGAACCAUCGGUGGAGACUUUCUCACAACUGCGAGUCUCUGACUCCGGUUUAUUACGUUCUUGAAACCUACCACCAGUGCUACGGAAUAAAUGCGAAAACGACCAUCAUUGUUUUGCCAUUGGGAGCUCCGCGGAUGUCCCGAGAAGAUUGCUGAUUCCCAAUCAAUAGGGCCCCAUUGCGCAGCAUUUAACAAUUGGCUCUUUAACGACUACUUCGGUGCGGGUGGAGCAUUGAUGGCACCAGGCAGUCUGGCAUCCAAGAUAUAGACUUAGCUUAAAUUCUCGUCCACGAUCUGUUGCUAAAAGAUCUACCGAACGUAAAAAUCAUUUCCGGACGUCAGAAUCAUCCAACGUAAAGAUGUUCUCGAUGUUCAGUUCAAUUCGCAUGCUGGUUCGUCUUGUCGCUCCCGGAAGUGGCCGAAAAGAAGAACAGGUAGGAAAAAGCGAAAUGAGAAAAAAUCAGUCGGACCGAUCGACCGACUGACAGGGGCGUCGCCAGAGGGAAAUGGAGCGUAAGCCAAGGAGGAGUUAUAUUCUUGAUGCCCAUCAAACAGCAGCUCUUGGUACAAAAACAACAUCCGGAUGGCAGAUUUUUUAUUAGAUUGAUUUCGGUACGGCCAGUCGUUUCAUCAAUGUAUCCAGCAACAUCAUCUUCAGAUACCAUCACCAGUUCAGGAAUUGUAUUGCGUCAAAAUUUCGCACAGCUAACUUGUGAUCCGGUGCUUGCUGCGAUUGAUGUUUCCUCCACCGCAGUGAUGAGAAGCUGAGGGAUGUUCCGGUCGAGGUUCCGGUUCGGCUGGAAUUGCUAUCAUCAGAUGUUAUAAAAGAUGUCUCCCGCAGCUGCUUGUAUUGAAGCAAUAUUCAG